GUUGUUGAGCUCGUUGGCAGCGGCGGCCGCCGGGGUGCCCAGAGCCCCCGCGGGGGGCUUCCCAGCGGCGUCGCUGCUGCCCCCUCCCGGGGGGGCCGGGCCCGGGGGGUUCUGCUUGGCGCGCAUCUUCUCGCGUUUCGCCUUCCACUCCUCCAGGAAGUCUGUGGUGCUGCCGCCGAGGCCGCUGCUGGUCCGGUAGCCACCGGUCGCCAUAUUCCCAAAGGGGCCGGUCGGGCUCUCACCUCAGGCCGCCCACCAGGGCUCCGGCCGCUGCCUCCUCUUCCUUCCUGCGGCCCCGAGGAUGCCAGGAGACGACCUCCAGGAGAGGGACGGCCGCCGCUCCCACAGCAGCCGGCGGGGCUGAGUGGUGCGAAUAAAGAGCCGAAUAACUUAUGUACUACUCUACAUGUGAUAGGACAAAACUAAGAAAAUUUUAAUAGGCUGGAAAAGAUGUCAUCAUGUGGAGAAUGAUGUGCCAUUAUUUAGUAUAACACAGAGAAAGAAAAAGAUACCAACACUGCCAAUUAAGUAGACAUACCAUCACAUAUAAGAUGAACUUCAACUUCAGAGAUAUCAAAAUGUGAAAAAUAUGUCCUUCUUAAAAGUUAUGAGAGAUGGGGUUUUGCCAUGUUGCUAAGGCUGGUCUCAAACUCCUGAGCUCAAGUGAUCCUCCUACCUCGGCCUCCCAAAGUGUUGGAAUUACAAGGAAUAAAAAAGGAAUUAAGCUCUGAGCACCAAUUUUUAAAAAUCUAUUUUUGAAGAAUGCAAAGGAAAUUUUUCAUGCAGGUGUUAAGAUUUGGGUUUUAGACCCUCUUCUGGCUCACUAAAACCUGGAUUCAGGAAGAAAGAGAAGCACCAGAUAUAGACAGUUCACAAAUUGGAUAUUCUUCUUUCUAGAGCUCUUCGUUCCUAGAUCGAUUUAAGGUACCAAUGUUAGUUAUAUAAUUAUUAUAUUCUUAAGUCUUCUUCUAUACUGUGAAAUAGUGAUACUUCAGAAUUAAAGGUCCAAUCAGGAGCAGUGUAGAAAAGAUGUGAUGCCAGUGAUAUGUAAAGAGCUUUCCAAAAUUUGACAAAAAUAAAUAUGAAGAUCUUUAUCCUUAGAGUACAAGCUCUUAAUUUAAAGCUUUGACUUUCUGGGAAGAUGCUACAUAACAUAUUCAAACUACUUUUUGAGUUCAUGUAAAACUUAGAGUGAAUCAAUACUCAAGACUGAAGACUGUACAGAGAAGAAAAACAAAACUCACACAAAGAUGCAAUCAUAUUACAGUGACAGAAGCAGAAAAGCAAGAAGCAAACAUGCCUAAAAUAUGUGUACUUUGCAAUUUCAGAGGAAUGUAAGAGAAGCUCAUUUCCUCCACUCACAAUGUGUACUAGCCAUUAUUUAUCCAACUGACUUUAUAGCUUUGUAUUUAGGUUGACAUUAUGUGUAGCAUUAAUGCAGUGAAUGUAAUAGAAAAGCAACUGCAGCGUUUAUUUUAAACUUGUUUCAAAGAGUGACAGGCAAAGCCAACACACAACACAUUAUUGCAGUGUACUGUUUUAUUCUCCCUUAAAUGAUAAGCAUUCUGGGGUGUUAUGCAAAAAGCAAGCAGCAGUAAUUGAUGAGCUGUAAAACUGGUUAGGUCAUACCGCCCAGAAGAUACUGACUCUUGCCGGUCACCUUUCAGAUACAAACCAUUUAAAUUUAGUUUAAUCACACUGAAACUAUUUCCAAGACACUCUUUCCCAGAUUAAUAAAUAAUGCUGAUAUUUAGUCAAGCAGUACAUUUACUGUAAAUGUUAAUGUUUUUAGGGUAUGUGAUUUUAAAAAGUAGACAGAAUCCUACUGAUCGUCUUUUAAGUACCAUGUUAUUCCAACAUCGGCAUGCCUAAACAUUAUUGUAUAGACAGAAACAUUAUUUUCAAUACAUAGAUCUUUCUUCUACUAAAUAAUACAGUCAUGACAAAUUCAUACAAAUCAUCACACUUCUCAAAAUACUAGCACAUAAAGUGUCAUAUUUGAUCUUUACCACUUUGCAAAAUAUCAGAAAUAGAAUAUUUCUUCUGAGAGGUAAUCUCCCUAUGAGCCUCAAUUUUAUUAGGUGUCUUCAAGAUUUUAAAUUAGUGGUAAAGUAAGACAAGAAAACUACACCCAACUGCCUGAUUCUAUUAGCUCAAUGAAAUUGACAUCUGUAAAAUGAUAUGAAAUUUCUUAUGUUUGACAAACAUAUUAACA